rnacentral:rRNA from 1 species
AGUUCUUCGGAAUUAGAGACCGGCGCACGGGUGCGUAACGCGUAUGCAAUCUACCUUUUACAGAGGGAUAGCCCAGAGAAAUUUGGAUUAAUACCUCAUAGUAUAGUGAUACCGCAUGGUACUGCUAUUAAAGUCACAACGGUAAAAGAUGAGCAUGCGUCCCAUUAGCUAGUUGGUAAGGUAACGGCUUACCAAGGCGACGAUGGGUAGGGGUCCUGAGAGGGAGAUCCCCCACACUGGUACUGAGACACGGACCAGACUCCUACGGGAGGCAGCAGUGAGGAAUAUUGGUCAAUGGGCGCAAGCCUGAACCAGCCAUGCCGCGUGCAGGAUGACGGUCCUAUGGAUUGUAAACUGCUUUUGUACGGGAAGAAACCCUCCUACGUGUAGGAGCUUGACGGUACCGUAAGAAUAAGGAUCGGCUAACUCCAUGCCAGCAGCCGCGGUAAUACGGAGGAUCCAAGCGUUAUCCGGAAUCAUUGGGUUUAAAGGGUCCGUAGGCGGUUUAGUAAGUCAGUGGUGAAAGCCCAUCGCUCAACGGUGGAACGGCCAUUGAUACUGCUAGACUUGAAUUAUUAGGAAGUAACUAGAAUAUGUAGUGUAGCGGUGAAAUGCUUAGAGAUUACAUGGAAUACCAAUUGCGAAGGCAGGUUACUACUAAUGGAUUGACGCUGAUGGACGAAAGCGUGGGUAGCGAACAGGAUUAGAUACCCUGGUAGUCCACGCCGUANACGAUGGAUACUAGCUGUUGGGAGCGAUCUCAGUGGCUAAGCGAAAGUGAUAAGUAUCCCACCUGGGGAG